GAUGAACGCUGGCGGCGUGCCUAAUACAUGCAAGUCGAGCGAACAGACGAGGAGCUUGCUCCUCUGACGUUAGCGGCGGACGGGUGAGUAACACGUGGAUAACCUACCUAUAAGACUGGGAUAACUUCGGGAAACCGGAGCUAAUACCGGAUAAUAUAUUGAACCGCAUGGUUCAAUAGUGAAAGACGGUUUUGCUGUCACUUAUAGAUGGAUCCGCGCCGCAUUAGCUAGUUGGUAAGGUAACGGCUUACCAAGGCAACGAUGCGUAGCCGACCUGAGAGGGUGAUCGGCCACACUGGAACUGAGACACGGUCCAGACUCCUACGGGAGGCAGCAGUAGCGAAUCUUCCGCAAAGGGCGAAAGCCUGACGGAGCAACGCCGCGUGAGUGAUGAAGGUCUUCGGAUCGUAAAACUCUGUUAUUAGGGAAGAACACAUGUGUAAGUAACUAUGCACGUCUUGACGGUACCUAAUCAGAAAGCCACGGCUAACUACGUG
rnacentral:rRNA from 1 species